GCACCCAGAGGUUGCAGUAAGUCUGGAUGCCACAUCAAACUGUUUGUGGUACUUCUAAACUUCGUGGAAGAGCCCUGUUUCAUAAAUCUGAGACAGCCUUGGUCUGAGGGAGCAAAGACAGAGAAUUCACGUGCUGCCCAGGCAUAGCCACAUAGCAGGUGGACAUCCCUGGACACUUUUCUGACCCUCAUUGGAUUUUCCUGGAAGUACGGAGAGUUACAUCCAGAGAACUCUGAACAUUUUGGAAGGACCCCAAUCCUGCAAACAAUGAAUGGCAAUAAAUCCUGGGACUGGAAAGGGGCUUCUCAACCCCAAGGCAACCAUAAAGUCCUAUACAAAGAAAGAUACAGCAGUGUGAAAGAGGCCUGGAUGAAAAAACAAAGACAGAGCCAGUGAGCCAGAGCCAGAGCCAGAGGACAAGAGAGAAAGGCAGAGAAUGGAAAACACAGACAGAGAAGGCAGAUGCGUAGAGAGACAGAGAUUCAAUGAGAAAAUAAGGAAGGAAGAAAGAAAGAAAACAAAAACGUUCUCAGCACUACAACUUCUGCCUUGUUCUGUUCCAGAACAGUAUGAGCUCAGUACUUUUUCAGACUCUCAAUUUUCUACAACUAAUAAUUUGCUCUUUCAGUUAGUGGCAAAGGCUUAACGACAAAGGUUCAUCUUUAAUAUUAGAGAGGCACUUUUAAAAUUUAUGAUGCUAAGCCUUUUGUUCUGGAUAUGGUAUGUUGCACAGGUCUAGGGACUGGGAUUUCAGAUGUCUAUUCCGUACCCUUAUUCUUUUAUUUAUUAAAUCUUUUAGUGUGUA
rnacentral:lncRNA from 1 species